rnacentral:rRNA from 1 species
GGCGGCGGCAACCAACCCCCCGAUCGAGCAUAGCCGCGGGAAACUGCGGGUAAUUCUCGGCGAACAUCGCGGAAAGGACAUCCUUCUGCGAUCAAAGGUGCGAUUCCGUCGGGGGACGGACCGCCGUGGUAUCAGCUUGUUGGCGGGGUAAUGGCCCACCAAGGCUAUGACGCCUACCGGGCGUGCGAGCGUGGCCCGGCACACUGGGACUGAGACACUGCCCAGACUCCUACGGGAGGCUGCAGUCGAGAAUCUUCGGCAAUGGGCGCAAGCCUGACCGAGCGACGCCGCGUGGGGGACGAAGGCCUUCGGGUUGUAAACCCCUGUCGAGAGGGAGGAAGAGGGUGUGCAGAACACUCUUUGACCGAUCUCUGGAGGAAGCACGGGCUAAGUUCGUGCCAGCAGCCGCGGUAAGACGAACCGUGCGAACGUUAUUCGGAAUCACUGGGCUUAAAGCGCGUGUAGGCGGCCCGGCACGUCAUUGGCUGAAAUCCCCCGGCUCAACCGGGGAAGUGGCCGUGAUACGACCGGGCUGGAGGGGGGGAGGGGGGGUGCGGGAACUCACGUUGGAGCGGUGAAAUGCGUUGAGAUCGUGAGGAACGCCCGCGGCGAAAGCGCGCACCUGGACCCCACCUGACGCUGAGACGCGAAAGCCAGGGGAGCGAACGGGAUUAGAUACCCCGGUAGUCCUGGCCGUAAACCAUGAGCACUGGGGUA